AUGAACGCGGCGUGCGGCGCGCCCGCCCCGACGGCGGCGGGGGUGAGCGAGUGGAGGAAGGACUGGCCGCUGCGAUCCGGCGGCUUCGCCGUGCUCUGCGACAAGUGCGGGUACGCCUCCCCCUUCCUGCUACCACCUCCCUCCCCCCUCCCUCACUCCGCGCUUCCUCUGCGGGUGCGUGCGGGCUCUGUUCCGAAUGGACUGGCUGGCUCGCUAGCUCGUCGGCUGGACGAAUCGAUUCAUCUCGAUGCUCUGCCUACCUUUCCCCCCUGCCUUUUCCUCUCGAGGAGAAGAUGUUUUGUUCCUUGUUGUGGUUGUGCAAUCUGUGGAUUUCCUUUUUGUCUUGCGCGUGUAGCAGUUUUUCAGAAAAGUGGAGUUGACUCAGUUGUAGCUAGCGUGGAUACCUACCAGCGACAUAUAGAACAGAUAAUAAGCACUACUUGGUUGUGUGGAGCUCAUGUCGAAUUCAGAUUUCUGUAA
rnacentral:rRNA from 1 species